UGCUCUCUUUUCCCGCUUUUAAGCUUACCCCAUAAAAUUGUGUCGCCACAUUGCAAUCUGAUCUCUCACCUCCUUCUCUUUACACACACUCUCUCUGAUAUCUCUCAUCUCGUUCUCUUCCCCCCUUUCUCUCUAUUUUUGACCUAGCGACCCUCACUGCCACACUACAACCCACCAUUAAAGGCGGUUUGGUGCAUCAGUUGAUCUGUAACCCUCCGCCACCAUCCAGUCAAUGUCCGGCCAGUGAGUCCGUUCUCCAGUCUCUUCUUAUGUGACUUCGUCUUUCUGCAUGUAACCGCCUCGACGCCUCUGUCCGCCAACGCCCUUGUCGCCUCCCUCUGCAUAUUGAUCUUGUGGUUUUUGUUUUCAAUUUUGACCAAUAUCUCCUUCACAUUGAACUGCAAUCAUCGCCUCUAAGAAUUGUCGGACCUCAUGGAAGUUGAUGCCGUGUAAGUUUCAAUGUAGUUGAAACGGAGAACCUCUAACCCCAUAGAAAAUCAACUAGCUGAAGCAGUUUGGUUGCCUGAUGGGCCGUAAAAAUUAAAUCAAGGAAUGAAUUGGUAGUGAAUGACUUAAGCUACCAUUUAUGUUGCAGCAACCAAGCAAGGGAUGGAUUGCCUUUAUGCUUGAAGUGUUAUUGGUAUAGAUGUCAGUCCAAACUUCAUCCAUCUAGUUUUCUGUAUAUAGUUUAUGCAAAUGUAAAAAUUACCUCUUUAUGGUGUGUUUUCUUAUAGCAUCCAAGAAUAAAUUUUGCAGGAAAGAUGCUCAGAAGAGUGUAGUGUUGGUUGUUAGUAAUGAAUUGAUCAAAAAAACAUGGGAGAAAAGAAUCAUAGGAUACGAAAGGGUAAACCAGUCAUUUUUAACAUUCAACUGUUUAUAAUAUGCUUAGGUACAAGCUGAACUUGAAACAAAUACUACAACAAAUUCAUCAAGUUGCAGCAAUGGUCUUCUUUAGUUGACAAGGUAUCAUUUGUCUUUAUUUACAUUCCACAUCCACCAAACAGGAAUGUACAAAGGAAUGGAAUCCAAUUCCAUUCCAUUUCAACUCUUUUUUUGGUUUGGAAGGGCAAUAGACUUCUUGGUGGAGCUGUUCUGUCAAGGCUGGUCCAUGCAACAAGCUUGCAAUCUACCUAAUGACCCUUAUAUUAUUGUUGUAAACACUAGCUAGUACCUUUUAAAACCAUUAUCUUAUUUUUGUGUUUCAACAUUUAUAUUAUGUUUGUUUUUAAACCUCUGUUUAGAAGUUAUGUUGUAAUAAAGAAUAUUUUGGAUUUAUGUUUA